UAAGCCGAAUCUGGACCAGGGUUCUCCCCCUCGGCACUAUUGACAUUCUGGGCUGGAUAAUUCUCUGUUGUGGGGGCUGCCCUGUGCAUUAUAGAAUUUAUGCAGCAUCCCUGGCCUCUACUCACUAGAUGCUGGUGAUAGCAACUCUGCAUUCUCCAGGUUGUGUCCAUUAAAAACGUCUCCAGGCAUUGCUGGGAGACAAAAUUGGCCCUGAUGGAGAAUCACUGGGUCACCAGGGAAAUCGAGGGGACCGCAUCGUGGUCAGGCAUGGAGGGAGGAGAGAGCACGGUCCAUUCCAACACCCUCAAGUGGAUCAAAACGUAGACUUGACUCCUGUGAACUAUGCUUUGGAAGUAAAUGAUGAAGGAGGAAUAAAGAAUAAUGCAGUAAGGAAGAUCAUAGCAUUUUGGAGCAGAAAGAAGGUUGUGGAAACAAUUUUGUGCAAAUGGCUUAUUUUAUGGAUGAGGAACUAAGGCUUUGAGAGGCAUAGCUGGCUAGUAGCAGUUCUGAAAAUUGGUUCUAGGGCAGGCAUUUUUUUCUCUGCCUGCUGUUCCUCAUGUUUAUGAGGAGUGUCAUUGGUUCUUCUUUGCUGGGUACAGUGUCUUCUUCAUCUUUUUAACAGCUAGCAAUGUACAUCUGUCUGCAAGGGGAAGAGGGAAGCUUUCCCAGCCACGUGGGAAUGGCCCUCGAGGUCUGUUACCGGGCAUAAAGUGAAGCACCAUUUCUUAGACAUAUUAAGUCAGUGAAAAUGAGUAGGUUUGGCAGGAAAAGAGGCAUCAUAUGUUGAUGAAAGAAAGAGAUUCUCCCCCCCCUUUUUUUUUUUUUUGAGAUGGAGUCUUGCUCUGUGACCCAGAGCUGGAGUGCGGUGGUGCAAUCUCAGCUUACUGCAGCCUACACCGUCUAGGUUCAAGUGAUUCCCCCGCCUCAGCACCCCAGCAGUUGGGAUUACAGGCACCCACCACCAUGCCUGGGUAAUUUUUGUAUUUUUAGUAGAGAUGGGUUUUACCAUGUUGGCCAGGCUGGUCUCAAACUCCUGACCUCAAGUGAUCCGCCCUCCUUGGCCUCCCAAAGUGCUGGGAUUACAGAUGUGAGCGCCUGGCUGGGAUUCGCAUUUUUAAAAAGGGGAGGGGGCUGUUAAUUGUCUCACUGCUCACUUGUGAAGCUUACAGCGGCUGUACAUUUUCUGUUUUCCAAUCCUUUCAGAAAUGGCAGCAAAGUAUCAGUACAAUCAUCUAAUUCAGAAAUCCCUUCUUUUUUUUUUUUUUUUUUGAGACGGAGUUUCAUUCUUGUUGCCCAGGCUGGAGUGCAAUGG
rnacentral:lncRNA from 1 species